AGCUGCCAGCCGGGGAUAGAAAGUGUCCAGGUCUUCAGAAAAGAGCCCCUUGGAGUGCACCGGGCCAGGAGAGGAUGGCUUUCCAGGACGUGUGGUGAGAGGCCCUGGCUGAUUGACCAGGCAGAAGUGGAAAGUGAGAGAACAUGGAAGGGACCACAGCUCUGAUGAGGAGGCUCUGACUGGUCCCCUAGCAAAAGAACAAGACCAGAGUGGGCCUGGUGGCGCACACCUGUGAUCCCAGUGCUCAGGAGGCUCAGGCAGGAGAAUCGCUGUGAGUUCAAAGUCAGCCUGGGCUACACAGUAAGGCCCUGUCUCGAGAAACACAAAAAAAGGAGACCAGACACUUUUGGAUUGAAUGAGGUAGGCUAGAGUCUGGCUGAUCAUUAUCCCAGUCUGAUUUUGCAGGAGGCUCCGGAGAGGCCGUUCUGUGGAGAGGUCCUUGCCCUCCAUCAGGACCCAUCGCUGGAAGGACAGUCGCCUCCUACCCCCGCCUGCUUCCUCCUGUGGCGCAGCCUCAGCUCUGCUGGAACCCAGGCCGGCUGCAGGCUUGCGGGUGCUCCGGGUAGCUGAAUGUCUGCACACUUCUUGUGGGUCCUCCGUCAGGAAAGCCUGAGGAUGUCUUUUAUUUUCCUUUUUGAGACAGGCUGUCACUAGGUGGGCUGGUCUUGAACUUGACAUCCUUCCACCUCAGCCUCUUAAGCACUGCCACACACCCAGUCUUGCCUGAGGAUUUUGAAUGUCUUCUUCAGUCCCAAAUGGAAGGCCCUUCUGAUUCUUUCUUUUGUUUUUGUUUUGUCUUAUUUGAGACAGGCUUCUGCUAAGCCCUGGCUGGCCUCAAACUCUCAGGGAUCCUCCUGCCUCAGCCUCCUGAAUGCUGGGAAUACAGGCAUGCACCACCAAGGCCAGCAUCUUCUUAGAGAGCCUCCAUGACUUGCCCCAGGUCAUGGGGUGAGGAACAGCAGGCUGGGGUUCAGGCUGCUCUUUGGGCUUCAUAGUUCCCAUGUGUAUGGUAAGCCGCACUGGCCCUUUGGGGAGAGGGUGGCUUCCUCCUGCAGUGUCUACCCUUCCAGCUGGCACUUCCUUGUGCGGUCACACCCUGGCCUCUUCCCUCUGCUGCUACUUGGCCCUGGCAAGAUCAAGCAGCAGGAGUCAGAGGGGUGACUUGGAGGGUGAGCGUGCCAGCUUGCUGGGCGCCCUGGCCUGGGCGCAGGAGAGGGGCUGGAGGCCGGAGCCGUGUGGAU
ensembl:lncRNA